CGCUCUGGUCUCCUCUCUUCUCCUUUGGAGCUUUCGUUCUGCCCGCGCCUCUGCUCUCGCCCGAGUCGCCUCCUCGCGUCCCCCUUGUCCAUCAAAAUCUCGAUUCGUUUCGAAUCGCGUUUGAUUUCGCUCCUCGGCGCCUCUGCCUCCUGUGCUCGCAGGCAGGGGAUUCGGCCCGCCUCCUCCGCCUCCGUGCGAGCCCGAGAAGCGAUCGAUCGGGGGAUUCAUUCAUUUGGUUUGCGAAUCUAUAUCAGAGAUCGUCGAGCCUGGUUUUCGGAAUCGGAGCUCUGAUUAUGGAGCCGGAGGCCGAGGCAAGGUCAGUGUCCCGUGCGAGUUCAGAUCGCUUCCUUGGUUCCAUCACCUGCGUUCGUCCGUGAUAUAUUCCAGCUUUCAAAUCAAAUGGAUAUGGCCCGCGUGAUCUUCUGGUUCCCCUAGCGCUCUGGUUUAUUCCGUCAAUCAUUCGUUACUGCGAGGUGGAUCAAUUCGAGGCCCUCGAGGAUUUGGUGGAGGUUUGAUUUCUAUUCAUGAUUAUUCUGAUUGAUUGGUUGGUUACGGUUCGCCGGUUGUUGUUCUGAUGAUAUGGUCAGAUCUUCUGAGUGAUGAAGCUUAGGGUCUCCUACCAACCUGGAACCUGCGAUCUGCGUUUGGAUAAUAAAUACUAAAUCCCUCCCAAUUUUAGUUUCUUGGUUCGCACACUAGUCAACGGCAUGCAAUUCUGAUCUGAAUUCUUUGCUUCUCCAGAAAUUAUAAAUUGGAUUACACGCCAUAGCGGAAGCAACAUCUGCGUUUGGAUGAUUAUUACCCCCUCUAUUUUAUUCCUUCAUCCAUACAGUUCUUAGUCUGUUCUGAAUUAGAUUUGUUCAUGGUUGUCCAGAAAUUGGGAUUAUACGGCUUACCGGGAGCGACUUGUUAUUCUUCCUCACCUGUGUUUGGAUGAUCUGUUCAUUUUCUUUUCUCCACAGUUCAAUUAGUCUCCACACAAUUCUGAUUUGGAUUUGUUGCUCCUACUCCAGAAAAUUGGAAUUAUACGGCAUAGCGGGUGGCCCUGGCGGUUCCUUUUCUGUGGCUCAUCAAAUAUAAUUAAAACACGCCAGACAAGUUUUCUCUGCCUUAGUUUGUCAAUUGUCAGCUCUUGCAGACAUCGCCUUGGAAGGGAUAUAAAUGGAAUCGAUGCUGUCUACCUGACCUUCCCAGACAAGACUUUCUUAUAACUUUUACCUCCUCAUUUGAAGCAUGCUUUAGCUGAGCCUAGUUUCCCCCUAAUUUACAGAGAAGUAUCUUGCUCGUUGCAGUUGUGACAAACGCAAAGUCUAACCUGAUGCUGAGUUGAAUCUGUUUGCAGUUUUUCUAAAUCUAAUCAAUUCAUCAUUAAUUGGAUGACCUUGAAGAUCUCUCACUAGGCAGUAUUUUAAAUUCAGAUUCAUCUGCAAAGGUGCAAGAAUGGAGCUUCAAACUAAUGGCACAUCCUACAACAAAAAGACUCUGCUCCAUUAUUAACUCUUGCCUCUUAUUUUUAUUUCACGUAGCUACUUGUUCAUGCCUUUGAUUUAGGUUUUUUUGCUUGUGCCCCCCUGUGAUUGCAGAUUUAUUUUAGCCAGAGCGUGUUGGUACUUGGUAGUGAGUCAAAAUCUGUUAAAUCGGUUGGUUUGCAGUCUAUCUCUAUGUGGUUCGAUUUGUUAUCUGUACUCUUAUCCUGUCGGACUGCAGGACAUAUUUACGAAGUUUGGGCUUAUGGGCAAAUCUCUGUACAGUGAGUCAGGUCAGUGCUCUAUCAACGGUUUGUUUGGUUUAGUUGUGUUCCUCCACACAUUGGUUGCAGGAUUGGAUCUGUAAUGUGGAGAGCCCUGUGGUGUUGUAUGUUGAAGGGGCUUUGAGCAGGUCAGGUUUGAAUGCUAUCGCCCGUGUGGUCUUCUGGUUCUCAUGACAUGUUUCUUCAUCAUCAGCUAAUAUGAGGUGGAUUAGAGAAGUCCUGGUAGAUUCUUAUUGUAGCAGCUGGUCGCGCUUUUAGUGUGUGUUUGUGUUCCUUUGCUUGCAGCAGAUGCAGGAGUGUAGUAGUUCUGCACAGAUGAAUCAUAGGGUGGAGAGUUGGUUUCUGUUCGUCAUUUUGAUUGAUUGGAUAAUGAAGCGUUGGAUCUCUUACCAACCUGGAACUUGUGAUCUGCGUUUGGAUAAUAUAUAUUCCGUCCCAAUUCAAUUUAUUUGGUUUGCACAAUACAAUUUAGCCCUUGGUAGUUCUGAUCUGUAUUCGUUUGUGGUUUUCCAGAAAUUGGGGUUAAUUGGUGGAGUUUGAUAAAUCUUUUUGAUUGAUUGGAUAAUGAAGCUUUGGAACCUGGAACUUGCGAUCAGCGUUUGGAUAAUGAAUUCCGUCCCCAUUCAAUUUAUUUGGUUUGCACAGUACAAUUUAGUCCUGGCAGUUCUGAUCUGUAUUCAUUUGUGGUUUUUCAGAAAUUGAGCUUAGUAAGGUUUAGCAGGAGCAACCUAUCUUCUUGCUGAUUUGCAUUUGGAUGAUUACGAACCCCUCUAUUUAAUUCCUUCUCCUCAAUUCAAUUUUAGUCUCCGACAAUUCUGAUUUGGAUCUGUUGCUGGUUGUCCAGAAAUUAGGAUUAUAUGGCUUAGCGGGAGUGACCUAUCUUCUUGCUGACCUGUGCUUGGAUGAUCAUUACUCUCUCUGUUCAGUUUCUUCUCCAUAGCUCAAUUAGUUGCCGGACAAUUCUGAUUUAGUUUUUUUGCUGGUUCUCCAGAAAUUGGAAUUAUAUGGCUUAGCGGGUGGUCCUAUUUUUCCUCGGCAUGGCGGUUCUUUCUGUGGCCCAACAUAUCCGACCUUUUAUCCUCCCUUGAUAAUUGAACUUUCGAAAUGUUAGUUUCUUUGCCUUGGUUGGUAAUUCUCAGCUCUUGCAGAUGCUGACUUGGGAGCGAAAUAAUUGGAACCAGUGUUGUCUACCUGACUUUCCGGCCGAGACAGGCUUACUUACCCUUUACCUCAACACAUUUGACGCAUGCUUUAGCUGAGCCUAGUUUUCCUCUUAUAACUUAUAGAAAGGUAUCUUCCUCGUUGCAGGUCGUAGUUGAUGAACUCGUCCAGCCUGAUGCUGACUUGAAUCUGUUUGCAGUUCUUCUAAAUAUACUAUUUUCUCAAUUCAUCAGAACUUAGACAGCCUUUAAAAUUAUCUUACCAGACAAUAUUUUGAAUUCAGAUUUAUCCUCGAAGGUUCAAACAUGAAGAUUCAAACUAAUGGAACGUCCUAUUAUGAAAAAGACUGCUCCAGUUUUAACUCGCCUCUUAUUUUUGUUUCACGUAGCUACUUGUUCAUGUGUUUGAUUUAGGUUUCUCCUUCUGCCCUCCCUUUGGUUGCAGAUUAAAGCCCAAACCAUGCUGGUAGUGAGUCGGAAUCUGUUAAAAUCGUUUGGUUUGCGAUAUCUCUCUCUCUCUCUCUCUCUCUGGAUCGAUUUGUUGUUUGUACUCUUGAUCCCUGUGCUGGUCUUCUGCGGGUAUCAGUUGCAGGAUAUAUUUAGGAAGUCUGGGCCUAUGUGCAGGAUAUAUCUGGAUAUGUCGGUGGCUCUCCAGAAAUUGGAAUUAUAUGGCUUAGCAGGAGCGACGCAUCUUGCUGCUCUGUGUUUGGAUAAUUAUCACUCCCUCUGUUUUACUCUUCCGUCUCCACUGUUCUGUUUUUGGUUUCCCACAGUUUUCUGAUUUAAACUAUCUGUUGGUGGUUCUCCAGAAAUUGGAAUAAUAUGGCUUAGAAGGCAGUCCUAUUUUGCCUUGGCAUGACGGUUCCUUCUGUGGCUAAAACUUUUUCAACCUUUUUUAUUCUAUAAUUGAACUCUCUAGAGAUUAGGUUUUCUUUGCCUUAGUAAUUAUCAGCUCUUGCAGAUACUGACUUGGAAAGGAUAUAACUGCAGUUUGGAACCGGCGUUGUUGUCCUCCAGCAUCCAUACCUCCUUAGACAGGCUUUACUUGUUCCCACUCAUCGUUUUGUCCAUGGUUUGGCUAUUUAUAAGCAGCAUUUCCCCUACAAUUUUUUUAUAGAAAAGGUCUCUUGCUCGCUGCAGGUUGUAGUUGACGAACUCCUGUACAGCCUGAUGAUGAAUCCGUCUACUGAUCUUCUAAAUCUACUAGUAUCGUUUCAAUUCAUUGUAACUUACAUAACCUAUAAAUUAUCUUACUAGAUAUUUUAAAUACAGAUUCAUAUGCAGCACGAAUAUGAGGAUAAUCCAGAGCUUUCAACUAAUGGCACAUCCUACAGCUGAAAAAGACUCUUGCCUUCCCAUUUUCUUUAUUUCAUUUAGUUACUUGGCCAUCUCUUAGGUUUUUGCCCCUGACCUUCCUAUGGUUGCAGAUUUUUCUUUAGCCCAGGCCAUGUGGGCAAUGACUAGUUCUCCAUGGUUGUUAUCUGUACUCUUGAUCCCUGUGUUCUCUUGGUCUUCUGCUUGUGUGGGUUGGCAAGAUAUAAUAGUUAGGAGUUUGGACCCAAACCUUUGUUCUGUACAUGGAGUCAGGUCAGUGUCUCGUAGAUGGUCUGUUUGUUUCGUUUGUUAUCGCCUCCUCUACAAUUUGGCUUGCAGGACUGAAUCUUGAUCUGGUCUGGAAAUGAUGCUCCAUGUGGUGUGUGAACGUAUGGUGAAGGGGACUUGAGGCAGGUCAGUUUCCCAUGUUUGGUCACAUUGGUUUACUGGAUUCCUCAUCUGUGCUUGGUGAUGUCAGAUUUGAGUGGUUAUACCUUAAGUUCUUCGAUUUAUGUUUGUCUGAUGGCUGUUUGGGAGCUUCGUUCUGGAUGGGUCUUCUUCAACCACAAAAGCUAACACCUGGAUUCCAUGCUUGUUUCAACUGAUUUCCCAGAUUUCAUUAUGGUCUGACUUUCCUUGAAGAAACUUUAAGUAUGGUGAUUAUAUUCGGGCCGUUCAUUGAUUUGCAUUUUUGGAGGUUUUAUUGCAAAAUUGUAGAGUUGGAUAAUCAGUUAGCGCAUGGCCUUGGUGAAGCAAAUGGACUCCCUUGAUGGUUUUGACUUCUGAUUAGUGAUCCUGAAGCAUGAUGGUUUUUGUGGUAGUUUUCAGUUUGAACUUGCAUUCAGUGGCCUCAUAUCUUUGGUGCAGCUUGGAGCUGGUAGUGUGCACAUCUGAUUCUUUCAACUGUCCUGAAUCAUCUUACUUCGUUUCUGUUGUGCCACCUUACUGGUUACGGUAUCUUCUUCAACUUGCAUGUGGUUUGGAUGGAAUAUGAUCUCAUCUUUUGCUCAUAUCAAGAAAAUGCUAGAAGUCUCAAACAAGGGUCCAGAAUGGAAAUAUCAGUUCGUACUCGGUUUGUAAUAGUAGAUUAACAAAGUUUGAUUUGGCUAUUAAUUACCUCGUUACCAUACUGUUUCAGGAAGUUUGGUUUUGAUAUUUGGCUGCUUGUAUCUUUCAACUUGCAAAUUUAUCACCUAAUAGGAAGUAAAGAUCGCAUGUACAUGAGCUCUGAAUGCAGUAAAAAUGUUAAAGCAUAUUAUAUGAAUAUAUGAAUUGGUCAUACUUGGAUUUGUCGGUCUACUAUUCUACAUACUCUUGUCCAUGAUUGCACUUGGUUUGUUUACAUACGUUCUUUAGGUUCAUCUUAUGACACAAAUCAAAUUUUAGUGUGCACAUAAAUUUUAACUGAAAGAUCCCACCCUCGCAUUUGUGUUGAUUUAACAGUAGUGGCCUCCUGUAGUUUGGUAAUAUUGAUGACUUGAUAUUUGGCUAUUAAAUAAAGAUGUUAGGAGUAUAAAACAAUGGAGAGUUGAAGGUUCUGAACUGGAAGCGUGAACAAAUAUUUUGCCCUGAACACUCCACUCAUGUCCACUGAAUAUGAUUCUGGUUUGUUUCGUAUGGAGUUGAUUUUCAGAAGUGAUGUUAUUCUCAUUGGUGCUUCUCCUGUGAGAUCUGGAUUCUUCAAUGCAUCUUCUUGGUUUUCUGGGGAACUUCCAAUGUUAAAUUGACAAACUAGCAAAACAGUCUGGCUAAUUUGAUGAUUUUUAAACACUCUGGCAAAUUUGAUGACGAAUCCCGCUGAUUACUUUCAACAUACGGCAGUUUGUUUUCAUACUUCAUUCAUCCUGGAUUUAAAGACACAAAGCGCUCACACAUCUCUACGGUCUUCCAGUGGCUCAUUUGAUCUCUUUACAGCAAACUGCUAAUUUGAUUUGGAUUAUGGAAUCUUCCAUUACAUAUUCGUAUUAAAUAUAUAAUUUAAUUUAAUAGCGUUUACACAUCUGACAGUCCUCCAAUGGCUAAUUUGACCAUCUUUUUGGCCGAACUGCUAAUUUGAUAUGGAUAAUGGAAUCUUCAAUUACGUAAAUCUAUAAUUUCAUAGUGUUCACACAUCUGACAGUCCUGUAAUGGCUAAUUGACCUUCUUUUCUGGCGAACUGCUAAUUUGAUCUGGAUUCUGAAUCUUGAACCACAUAUUCUCUUUAAUUACAUAUAUUCGUAGUUUUCUGGAAACUUCCUAGUUUUAAUUUAGUUGGCAACUAGCAAAAGUACUAAUUUGAUUAUUCCUGUCGAUUUCUUAGACAAACCCAUUCUGUUUCAUACUACAUAAUAAAUCCUAUAUAUAGAUUUUAAAGACACGGAAGUAUCUGUUCACACAUCUUACGGUCCUCUGACCCUGUAUAAACUACAAAAGCUUUCUCUGUGCAAAGAUUUGAAUCUCGCUCAUCCCACUAGAUAAAUUAGUUACUCCCAUUCAGGUUCUGGAAUUUAUGGCAUUCUUUGUUUGCGCCCCAUGUCAGUCUUGUGAUGUUGUGAAAACUUUGCAUGAAUAUUUAUUGCCAAUCGCUUGUCGUGCCAAUGCUGCCUUUGGUUGAUUGUGUGGCUUGUAUGCUUAGCUGAAUAUAAUUGUUUGUAGUGUUUGCUGUUUUUUGUGUUUAAGUAGGAGUAGUUUAACACUGCCUUUGCCGGUCCCAGGCCCGGAUGAGAAAAUGUGGAGGGGACUGCAGUUAGCUCCUCUGUAUCGUUUGCAUUAGAACUGUCAUUGUCUCCUAAUAUUUUACAUUGAGUAGGAGUGAAUGAUGUGAGUAAGUUGCACAGACUGUCUAGUCGAAUACUGAAUCGUCACACAAUGUGGUGGCAAGCUUUGGAAUGCAUCCUUUGCUAUGAAGAAUCUGGGCAAGUGUAAUUUGUAGUCAUGUACCACACAAUUCUCUAGAAAACAUGUAGUUCAAUUGUUGUGGGUAAACUGCUUCCCUAGAAAAUGCUGUGGUAUUGUAGUAGAUGCAAGCAAGUGGGGAUGGUUCACAGAGUUCCCUGAUUGUUUCAGUUACAGUAAACUAGCAGGUACGUUUACAUUACUAGUUGUACUUGAGUUAGAGUUGUGGUUGUCGUUUCACAAUCUGAUUACCGUCCAUAAGAAAGUCUGAGAUGCAGAUAUCCAUGGUUCAUUUUCAGAGUGGAAAUUCAAGUCCGACGAAACUGAAGAAGCUUCAACCACUGAGGAGACAAAGCUGCGUCCUUCAUCACCUCGUGUGUAGAGGUUUACAUGCCCUUGUUUCUUUCAGUUAGACACACCGACAGUCAAGCUUUGCGCCCUAGUUGUUGCUGCAGUUUCGGCUGUAUACAAAUUCCAACAACAGAGUCUUGUCCCCGUCUCGUAAUUUCAUCGUGCAGAUGUUUAUUUUCUGCUAAUAUAUGUUGUUGAAUUAUGGGCGAGUAGAAUGCCUGCAAUUGUUUGUCGAGUGGGUGCUGAUGUCCUCAAACUUUGAAUUGUUCGGCAUAAGUGGCCCUAACCGUUGUGGGGUUCAAACUGUUUUUCCUUUCUAAAGCAUAGGGCUUGUUCUUUUGAAUAAAGCAUAGGGUUUUAUAC